GCUGAGACAGUUCAGGAAGGCAGCAGGGAACCCCGUUCAAUGGAGCAAACCUGGGCUGAGGCUCCAUCACCCGAGGAACAGAAACUCGGAGAAAAGACACAGAGGCUGGAGUGCAGGCCACCAGCAGAAGCUAGAGAGACGCACGGAGACAGACUCUCCUUCAGAACCCACAGGAAGGGACCAGCCCUACCCACACCUUGAUUUUGGACUUCCAGCCUCCUGAAUGGUGAGCGGAUACAUUUCUGUUGUCAGCCGGCCCGCUUGUUCUUAUUUGUCAGGCAGCUCUGAGAAACGAAUACAGGGGCUUUGGGGAAGAAAAGAAGCUGAAGACAGGUCUCUGGGGAGUGAAGGAUGGCCAGGCGAUGGCCCAGGGUCAGCUGAGACCAGGCUGGAGCCCUGGGGAGCCCAGAGUCACUGCCUCUCCUUGCCUCAGCAUCCCUGGAAGACAAGGGGCUGUGUUUUCAGAGGAGGAAGUGGGCAGACAGCAGCCAUCCCGCUCUGCACUCCGGCGUUAUCUUCUGCUGCCCUCUUCCACAUGGCUUCUAAACAGUUAUCACCGUGGCCACGUGCUUAGACAAGAUUUCUGAGCCACCUCCAGAAAUUAAAGGCUCUUUCUGGUUA